ensembl:lncRNA
AUGCAGUGCAACGGCACACAGAGCAGGGCCUUUCUAUGCUCAUGGGUAAAAGAAGGAGAGGAAAUCAGAUGCCUUGCUGGGGGAAAUAGCUUUAGCAGAUGGGGAAAAGAGUGUGGAGUCAGGGCCUUAUUUAGAGAGAGUGGAGAAGACGAGAGACGGUCAUUCUCAUCUCUCAAAGCACCAUGUCACACCGCCAACAUCUCAGAAGAUCACCAACGAGGAUCAAAGGUUUAAGCCUGCCUAAGUCUCAUGUUUCCAGUCAGUAGCAAAAUAUGGCUCACAUGUAAUAAGAAAGCAGCAGAUCAACAACUUAUUUCUUGGCUGGAACUUAUUUGAGCUGCCAUGACAUAAUGAAAAACUACAGUGACAUGUGUGGGGAAAAACAAGAUAAUAAUACUGUUGAGUUUGAGUCAACACUAAACGAACAUUUAUCUUACUCUAAAGUGUGUUGUGGUCUAGAAAAACCAUCAAAAGUCCAUAAAAAGGAUAAAAAUGCUAAGCUCAAUCUAUUUUAAAUUAAAAUCUAGUGGGUAAAAAUAUAAUGCAUUCAUUUAGAUCCAUCACACUGGAGUAAACUGGGGUUAGGUGACUGAUUCAAUGGUUGAAAAUAUGCAUUAAAAUGCUAUAUCUGCAAUGUAUGUUAUUACAUUUUUUAUUUUGAUGAUUACCUGUCCCUGUGGUCCAAGGAAGUUGGUCAAAGUAAAAAAAAAAAAAAAUUGUGGUACACUUCACUUGUGGAAAAAAAGACAUUGUGUUUAAAGGAUUACAAUGCUAAAUAUAGAUAUGUUAAAUGAUUAAAUAUAAAGGUAACCACUAUGAUUUGUCAUAAUAUUACAUCACUUUUCCAUUCCUGACAGCAGAAAGCUUACUAAUGAGUUCUAUUCUGUCUCAGUGUCAUGGCCAACACUUAAAAGCACACAUGGAACAGGAAACUCGACACUUGGACUUUUAAUUUCUUGAAGUCUCAGAUGGAAGAGUUUCCAAGAGCUCCAGUAUCUUUUCCAGGCUUUUAUGGGAAGGAUAAAACAUUUACAGUGUCUCCAAGCCAGCCUAAUUCACCUCUCCUCAAGGAAGUGGAUGAGGUCGAGAUGCUGUUUACUACACUCCUAACUGUGCGCUACAGAAAACUUUCUUCCCAAGCCAAGAGAUCAAAGCUCUUUUAAUAGAAAAUAAAAAAAUAUUUGUAUCAUAUGCA